rnacentral:rRNA from 1 species
CACGUAGGGCGCAAGCGUUGUCCGGAAUUAUUGGGCGUAAAGAGCUCGUAGGCGGUCUGUUGCGUCCGCUGUGAAAACUCGGGGCUUAACCCCGAGCCUGCAGUGGAUACGGGCAGACUAGAGGUAGGUAGGGGAGAAUGGAAUUCCCGGUGUAGCGGUGAAAUGCGCAGAUAUCAGGAGGAACACCGGUGGCGAAGGCGGGGUCUCUGGGCCGAUACUGACGCUGAGGAGCGAAAGCGUGGGGAGCGAACAGG